UACGAAGGGGGCUAGCGUUGUUCGGAUUUACUGGGCGUAAAGCGCACGUAGGCGGAUCGAUCAGUCAGGGGUGAAAUCCUGGAGCUCAACUCCAGAACUGCCUUUGAUACUGGGGAUCUCGAGUCCGGAAGAGGUGAGUGGAACUGCGAGUGUAGAGGUGAAAUUCGUAGAUAUUCGCAAGAACACCAGUGGCGAAGGCGGCUCACUGGCCCGGUACUGACGCUGAGGUGCGAAAGCGUGGGGAGCAAACAGG
rnacentral:rRNA from 1 species